UACCUGGUUGAUCCUGCCAGUAGUCAUAUGCUUGUCUCAAAGAUUAAGCCAUGCAUGUCUAAGUACAAGCCGAAUUAAGGUGAAACCGCGAAUGGCUCAUUAAAUCAGCUAUGAUUCAUUGGAUCUGUAGCCCACACUUACUUGGAUAACUGUGGUAAUUCUAGAGCUAAUACAUGCACCACGUCUCUGACCGCAAGGGAAGAGCGCUUUUAUUAGUUCAAAACCGGUCGGGCCUCGGUCCGCCAACCCCACCGUGUUGAAUCUGAAUAACUUGUGGCUGAGCGCACGGCCAAAUCCAGUGCCGGCGCCGCCUCUUUCAAGUGUCUGCCUUAUCAGCUUUCGAUUGUAGGCUAUGCGCCUACAAUGGCUAUAACGGGUAACGGGGAAUCAGGGUUCGAUUCCAGAGAGGGAGCCUGAGAAACGGCUACCACAUCUAAGGAAGGCAGCAGGCACGCAAAUUACCCACUCCCGGCAUGGGGAGGUAGUGACGAAAAAUAACGAUGCGAGACUCAUCCGAGGCCUCGCAAUCGGAAUGAGUACACUUUAAAUCCUUUAACGAGGACCCAUUGGAGAGCAAGUCUGGUGCCAGCAGCCGCGGUAAUUCCAGCUCCAAUAGCGUAUAUUAAAGUUGUUGCGGUUAAAAAGCUCGUAGUUGGAUUUCAGUUCUGGACUGACGGUUCACCGCCCGGUGCACACUGUCACGCUCCGAACAGCCAUAACGCAGCCCGUUGGCUCGCACGGGGUGCUCUUCACCGGGUGUCCCGCGUGGCCGGCAGAGUUUACUUUGAAAAAAAUUAGAGUGCUCAAAGCAGGCUACACUGAUGGCCUGAAUGCCUAUGCAUGGAAUAAUGCAAUAGGACCUCGGUUCUAUUUUGUCGGUUUUCUGAACCCGAGGUAAAGACUAAUAGGAACAGGCGGGGGCAUUCGUAUUGCGACGCUAGAGGUGAAAUUCUUGGAACGUCGCAAGACGAACUACUGCGAAAGCAUUUGCCAAGGAUGUUUUCAUUAAUCAAGAACGAAAGUUGGAGGUUCGAAGGCGAUCAGAUACCGCCCUAGUUCUAACCAUAAACGAUGCUGACCAGCGAUCCGCCGGUGUUAUUCCCAUGACCCGGCGGGCAGCUUCCGGGAAACCAAACUCUUUGGGUUCCGGGGGAAGUAUGGUUGCAAAGCUGAAACUUAAAGGAAUUGACGGAAGGGCACCACCAGGAGUGGAGCCUGCGGCUUAAUUUGACUCAACACGGGGAACCUCACCAGGCCCAGACACAGAGAAGGAUUGACAGAUUGAGAGCUCUUUGUCGAUUCGGUGGGUGGUGGUGCAUGGCCGUUCUUAGUUGGUGGAGCGAUUUGUCUGGUUAAUUCUGAUAACGAACGAGACUCUGGCCUACUAACUAGUCGACGGAUCUCCAGCAAUUGGUGUCCAGUUCGCAGCUUCUUCUUAGAGGGAUAAGCAGCAAUUCUAGCCGCACGAGAUUAAGCAAUAACAGGUCUGUGAUGCCCUUAGAUGUUCUGGGCCGCACGCGCAUUACACUGAAGGGAUCAACGUGUCCUCCCCCUCCGAGAGGAGCGGGUAACCCGUUGAAAUCCUUUCAUGAUAGGGAUUGGGGUUUGCAAUUGUCUCCCAUGAACGAGGAAUUCCUAGUAAGCGCAAGUCAUGAGCUUGCGUUGAUUACGUCCCUUCAAUUUGUACACACCGCCCGUCGCUACUACCGAUUGAAUGAUUUAGUGAGGCCUUCGGACUGGCGCUCUUGGAUGCCGGGCCUGCGUCGCGGUCAGUUCUGCUGCCGCCGCUGGGCUCUUUCGGCGCCUCGAGCUGACGGAAAGAUGUCCAAACUUGAUCAUUUAGAGGAAGUAAAUGUCGUAACAAGGUUUCCGUAGGUGAACCUGCGGAAAGAUCAUUA